UCCACGCGAGAGUUGGUGUGUGAUCGUUCGCCUCCGUCCCAGUCCUCACCUCAGUUACGUCCCAGCGGUCAGAGGGGAAGGACGCAUCACUCUUGCCCCUCGCGCACUUGCACUUGUCCCUAGCACGCAGGAACUGUCUCGCCUGCUCACCGAUAUCACAGUUGCGUCCGCCGUUGACUAAAAUUACAUUCUCCACGUUUACUCCCUGACGGGAACUCGAUAUUCUUUACUCAAUUUUAGGCGAACUAUUGACCGAUUCUUAUUGUUGUAUCAAGAGUGGCCGCCAUCGACACACUUGAAGUACUACGUGGGUGCUGAAGUGAGUGGCGGCGAGUCAGGAGGUUGGGCGGGAACCUCACGCCGCCCGCACGCCCACAACUAAUGUCGGCGUGAUGCGAGAUUCUGCGCUCAAAUUAUCAUCUGAUAUGGUGUGUUGACGUGGCGGAGCGAGGCGGAGGAGGAGGAGGAGGCGGUGGAGGAAGUGGAGUGAGGGGUGGAGGAGGGGAGAGGACCAAGGUGGCAGGCGACACGCAGCCCUAUCUGGAGGAGGGCGGCUAUGAGGAAGAUGGUGUCCAGUGUGAGGGGCGCCUCCUACCGCCCCACCACUGCCGCCGGAGAUAGCAACAGACGCUGCCAUCUAUGUUGCGGUAAUCGUGGUGUUCUACGCGGCCAUCAUUCUGCUCCUCGUGGGCACUAACCUACAUCGCCUUCGCCGCCGCCGCAGAAGCCCCGCCAGCGCGUCCCAGCCCCUACAGACAACAAUCACGGCGCGGGACGCAGACUCUACCUCCCUCUUCUUCCCUACCUCACCGUCCGCAGCUGUCACCGCCGCCCUUCAUGACAAGGAGCGAUGGCAGGAGCAGGGAGAUGCUGUGCCCGUUUGAAAGCGAGGGUGUGGAGCAGCGGCAAGAGGAGGAGGAGGACAGUGAGGACAAAGAAAAAGUGUAGUGCGACUGGAAAAUUACACUACUGGGCAGGAGCUGGAAAAUGUGAAGGAAGAAGAAAGAUUUUUCAGUGACGAAGUGUGACAGGAAGGUGUGAAAAGAUAUGAUGGCAGGAGGAGGGAAAGAGAGAACUAGAUGGUUAACUGGGUGGAAAAGAGAAGUACAAGGCAAGCGACAAGGAACGAACAGGAGAGGAACAGCAGGAGGAUGUGAGAGGAUGAAGGAGUUGUAAGGGUGUGACUCAAGGCUGUUUCUUGGUGUUGGUGGCGCUGCCAGUGUUUAAAGUGAGAACUAUGUGAGGGUGUUGUGAUGAUGGAGGAGGAGGAGGAGGAGGAGGAAGAGGAGGAAGAGGAGGAGGAGGAGGAGGAGGAGGAGGAGGAGGAGGAGGAGGCAGAAGAGGAAGAGGGCGAUGGCGACGACGACGAGGAGGAGGAGGAGGAGGAGGAGGAGGAAUAGUAAGAGGAGGAGGGGAGAAAGGCGGAAGAGGAAAGACAACUUGUGAAUAAUUGAGAUGCUGUGUGCUGUGUUUACAAGAGAAAGAGAAUGAGAAAAAAAUGUAUCUCAUCGUAUCUUCAACACACACACACACACACACACACACAUACACACGUAAAUACACUUCCUGUCUUAUCAAAUUAACCUCUAAACCAAAUUAACAAUCAAGCAAAGUGACAAAGGUACAUCUGAACUUCAGCAAAAACAUGAAUCACUUGAAAAAAAAAGAUGAACGUAUAAAAGUGAAACGAAAAGAAAAGAUAAAAAUGAAAAAAAAAAUAGGGAGGUUUCACGAGUUCAGGUACUUCAUAUAUCAACACUUCUCCCCCUCCUCCUUCUCCUUCUCCUUCUUCUUCUUCUCCUCCUCCUCCUCCUCCUCCUCCUCCUCCUCCUCCUCCUCCUCCUCCUCCUCCUCCUCCUCCUCCUCUCCAUCCAACAUUAACCUCUUCAACUGCAUUAGUAACACACACACACACACACACACACACGAGGGUGAAAACGAACGGAGGGAUAAAAGUGAAUAAACACGAGAACAAUGCAAUACUAAUAAAGACAAGGGACAAGAACGAGAGUCAGGCAAAGAAGGAAAUACAAAAAUAGGAGACUGACAUGAACAGACCGGAAAAACAAUAGAAAAUGUAAUGUCAAUAAGAAUGGUGUUUUAUUUUCUUAUUUGUACGUAGUUAAGCAUUCAAGGGGUGUGUGUGUGUGUGUGUGUGUGUGUGUGUGUGUGUGUGUAAGAACUACGACCUCCAAUUUACAUAAUCAUUAUAAAAAUAUGAGAGAGAGAGAGAGAGAGAGAGAGAGAGAGAGAGAGAGAGAGAGAGAGAGAGAGAGAGAGAGAGAGAGAGAGAGAGAGAGAGAGAGAGAGAGAGAGAGAGAGAGAAUGCUUUACUUUUUUGUCUGUAUCGUAAAUCCGGGGUUUUGGUGGCGCUUUUUUUUUAUUGUGAAUGAAAAUGAAAUAGAAGCAAGAAAAGUGAAGAGACAGGACGCGAAAAGAGAGAAACUGAAUACAAGUGGGAGUGAGGGAACGUUGUGAACUCAGGUAGGACUUGUGAAGGAUUAAAGUAAAAAAAAAAAAAAGGUAAAGAAAUAAAACUGAAAAAUGUGCAGAAGUGAAAGGUAAGUUCAUAAAACAAUUAAAAAGCUGUAAAACAAUAAACAAUUCGUGGAAAAAAAUAAUAAUAAUAAUAAAAAAACGUGAUGAAAUGUUAAUGAAAAUAAAAACACACACACAAAAAAAAAAAAACAAUUCAAGGUACAGAAAAUAGAGGAAAUUAUGAAGCGAGACAGGAAAAAGAAAAACGAAAAAAAAAAAACUGACGAUGUUAACUAGUGUGAAAAACUCGAAAAGAAAGAGACGAAAGUAAGAAAAAAGAUAACAAGGACAAAAGUGACAAUGUGAAAGGAGGACAAGUUAAGCUGAUCAAGAGCAGUGAUAAGAUCAAAUUAAACCCUGUGAGCGCAACGGCAUCGCGGGAAGGGAAUCCAGCACCACGAGAAGGAGGGGAGGGAUGGGGAGGAGUUCAAGGGUUCACGAUCCCUCUUCUGCUUCGCUCAACAGGGGAUUAAUACCCGAGGAAAGAGGAUCGAGGCUUCCACUUGUGGGAUUUGAACCGAGAUCCAGCGAAGCGAUUUUUUUUUAUUAUUUUUUUAUUAUUUUUAUUUUUUUUAUGCGUGAACGUAGAGAGAGAAUUCUCGGGAUUAUAUAUUGAGAGAGACAGAGACAGAGAGAGAGAGAGAGAGAGAGAGAGAGAGAGAGAGAGAGAGAGAGAGAGAGAGAGAGAGAGAGAGAGAGAGAGAGAGAGAGAAA